UAAAUGAUAGGCAGUUGGUAAACAGUUUUCGGCACACACAUGAACCACGGGCAACCGUAGCUUCAUUUACAAACUUGUUGCUAACAGGGAAUGAAGAGUAAUGACCAAAUAAACUUCUAACGGGCCCGACGUGAAAGACAAAUACACACAGUUACCCUGGCGGACAGUAACAACUCAACUAAGGUUCAUCGAGGUCUGUGGCCCAAGACAAGUCAACCAGUUGUACACCAAGGUCACAUGGCCAGGGAGGUUUAACCAACCGU